CACCAGAGGGGUUGCUGUCUCUCUCUCUGGAGCCAGCCUGCCUUCUCUCGUGAAUGUGUAGUCCUUGCUUUAUCCCAGAGGCAUCUCUCUUGAGAUUGCCCCCAUUUUUCCUUGAAUAUUGAAUCUACUUUCCUAAAUAAACCUCUCUCUAAGCCUUUGGCACAUGCUGUAAUUCUUUUCCAUCACAUAUGCAAGAAACCCCCUGGUCCUGAGUUAUAUUUUCUCUUCCCUCUGGGAACUCCUUGAAACCUACUUCAGAGAUGUCUUCUCCAGUGACAGUCUGAUUGGAUUUUUCCCCUUUAACAUUAUCUAUUGUCUAAUAUUGCCUGGAGCACAGGAGGGACUCAACAACUAUUUGCUGAAUCAUUUAAUAUGCCUUGAUUGAACCCAGCAUACAGCUUAAUGAAACCCUUAAACAAGUGUCACCUGGUAGGUUAAACUCCUGGAUUAAAUCUAUCUCCCAUUUUUUCAGGGGCAGAAGUAACUUCCACCUGAAGAAGUACAGCUUGGAAAGGAUCUUUUACCUUUUAAAUUUAUAUCAGACGAUGAGAGGAGGGCUGUUAGUAUAAAUAGCCAAAAGAAGACUCAAAGAAGUUCUUUGAAUUUAGAACUAAUACAACCAGUGGAUUUCCUCUGCCGCUUAACAUCUUAACUGAGAGAGGGUAAGUAAGAAUUAGACUUUU
rnacentral:lncRNA from 1 species